ACCAUAUGACCUAAGUACUGG
rnacentral:siRNA from 1 species